rnacentral:rRNA from 1 species
GACGAACGCUGGCGGCGUGCUUAACACAUGCAAGUCGAACGAUGAACCCGGAGCUUGCUCCGGUGGAUUAGUGGCGAACGGGUGAGUAACACGUGAGUAACCUGCCCUUGACUCUGGGAUAACUGCGGGAAACUGUAGCUAAUACCGGAUACGACCCUCGGCGGCAUCGCCAGGGGGUGGAAAGAAUUUCGGUCAAGGAUGGACUCGCGGCCUAUCAGCUAGUUGGUGAAGUAACGGCUCACCAGGGCGACGACGGGUAGCCGGCCUGAGAGGGUGACCGGCCACACUGGGACUGAGACACGGCCCAGACUCCUACGGGAGGCAGCAGUGGGGAAUAUUGCACAAUGGGCGCAAGCCUGAUGCAGCAACGCCGCGUGAGGGAUGACGGCCUUCGGGUUGUAAACCUCUUUCAGCAUCGACGAAGCGAAAGUGACGGUAGGUGCAGAAGAAGGACCGGCCAACUACGUGCCAGCCGCCGCAGUAA